CAUCAUCAGCACCAUCAUCAGAUGGAGGCUGUUGGAACUCAGCAGACACACGCGAUGCUCGUAAUAGCGGGAGCUGUUGAAUGAGGACGCGGCAUACACCGGGACUGCUCGGUGUUCCCUUUUUUUUUUUUUUUCCUCCCAAAUGAGCCGCACACUCGGAGGGACAUGACAGCCAGGCGGUUGAGGCAGCAUCCCGGGCUGGAGGAGUAAAUGGGACCGCACGUCAUCCCGGCGUUAGAAAGAUGGAGCGAUUAAUUCUGCUCGUUCUCAGCUGUGUCGGCGUCUCGCAAGUCUCGGCGGAUGGUUUGUCCCCUCCUGUCAAUGUUACCAUCAAAGCGGUGAAAGCAAACUCUGCUGUGGUGACAUGGGACAUCCCCGAUGGAGAUCCCGUCAUUGGCUUUGCCAUUACACAGCAGAAAAAAGACGUGCGUAUGCUACGAUUCAUCCAGGAAGUGAACACCACCACACGCUCCUGCGCAUUAUGGGACUUGGAGGAGGAGACAGACUACAUCAUCCAUGUCCAGUCCAUCAGUAUGUUUGGAACGAGCCCACAAAGCGAGCCUUUACGCUUCCGAACACCAAAGGAGGUCGAGACUCAGGGUUCUAAGAACAAAGACGAAGUAACAAUGGAGGACCAACUGAGGGCAGGUGAACUCAUCAUAAUCGUUGUGGUGCUCAUCAUGUGGGCAGGCGUGAUCGCUCUCUUCUGCCGUCAGUAUGACAUCAUCAAAGACAACGAACCCAACAACAACAAGGACAAAGCCAAAAACUCCUCAGAGUGCAGUACUCCUGAACACCCAACAGGGGGGCUGUUGCGCAGUAAGGUAUAAUCCACCAACCCUCUCCUCCCCCGAGGUGCCUAGCCCUCUCAACGGCGCCGGGCAGUUCUCCAAGAACAAUAGGAUGCCAUCUGUCAACAUCAUUGAAGUGUGACUGUCUUCUCCAAAUGCUAAAGACUUUGUGUCCUCACAAAUAAGCGGGUCCUUUGAAGCAAAUCUGCCUUUCAGAAUGCGCCGCUUAAAUCUCAUUUUGCUGUGGGCCUGCCAGUGAAGCAAAGCUCGCAGGCACCUUGGGAUCCAGGAAUGACUUGGCCAGUGCCAAGGGUAGGAGAUGCUACGGUGGAGAGACUGUGGUGAGAGUUGAGCGAAUGGAUCGGCCAUGCUUAACAACCAAUGUACCAUGGGGGGACAGAGAUUAGGGCCAAAUGCUCCUGGCAGCGGACGGACUGCUGAUAAAUCAACCCCAGGGACCAAAGUCGAUGAACAGAACCGGAGACCUUUUCAGCCUCUCUCCCGCUUUCAUCCUUUAGUGGGUGGUACCAAUUGUGUCUAAGUGUUCCUCUGUGGUGUGAUUAUAAUCUCAUCCUCUUGGUGGUGUUUUUUUCCUUACAUGUUUUAGUCAAAUUUUCCUAUAAGUGACGGUGAAUAAUUUAUCAUAAAACUGUAGUUUUGUUACAGAAGGUACUGCCAGUACGUUUCUGUCGCUCUGGUACAUUUUACACCCCACCAUAGCAGAAAGUUUUGUCGUCCAGUGGGAAAUAUUUUCCAUCUGGCGAGCUUGUUUUCCCCCCUCAGGGAAUAUAGACUCCACCUGACAGAUUUAAAAGUGAUUUCUCAAAAUGAGCUGUUGUAACGCCAUAGCAGCUUGGUUCAGUGUCUCAUUCGCUCGCGUUUUCAUCUUGACUCUCUCUCAUGCUUUUAAUAUAUUCUAUUCUUUGCAUUCCACAUCUAAAAUGGGCUGUAUUUUAGAGUGUUCAGUGUUCUGGGUAAAUCAAGAAGGACUUGACCCAGAGUGCCUCACCUAAAUAAUGUAUUUUCAAAGGGGCUUGCAUACGUCUACAGAGAAGUGGCCUUCGCAGAAACAAUAGAGGAUAUUCCUUAAGCAAUAACAGCCCUGACUGACGCGAGGACUACUUUAAGCGCCAUGAGGUCACAUUCUGUAAAAAAAAAAGAAAAGGAAACACAAAUGUAACCUCUUAGCAUGCAAUGGUCACAUGACUUGCACAAUGUGAUAGCUCAUUCAUUCCAUUCCUUAUAAAAACAUUGUAUAGGUUGGGCUUCAAGGUUAUUUUAUGAACAGAUGUCAUCAAGGCAGAAGGGCUUCGAACAAGAGCAUUGUUCAAGUCAAAGUCUGUAUUUGUUCGAUGUAGUAUAGAUAUAGUACAUAAUGAUAAUUCGCAUUGUGAAUUGAAUAGAAACUCAUUUCCAGCCACUCGCUACAAGUACAUUAUAUGGACUAAACGGCCAGUAUCCGCUAUCCUUCUAUCUAUGGUAGCUCGUUAUAUAAUUUUUAUUUUGUUUUUGUUUUUUUCGGGGGAGGGGGUUGUCAGAUGGUUGACAUAUCAUCUAUUACCCCAUACUAGCCUUUUGGACAGCCACUCUGUACACUGGCUGGUAAAAAAUGUUAUUGUAUGACGUCUAUUCCCCAAAAAGCAUCUGAAUGACCAACUUCUAGCGUGUUACUUAUUGAUAAUGUGGAUAAUGUUCUCGCUCACAUUUAUAGUAUAUCAUAUACCUGUUAGCGUUAUACUUUUCAUCAAAUAACCUAAUGUGUGUGUACAGUAAACAUACAAAUUGACAUGCAAUUACAAAAUCAGAGUUACACUUCAAUAUUUAAUGUGUAAAUAAAUACAUUAUGAAAUAACAAAAACUGCAGUAUUGUGCAAAAAUUUUCGGUCAACUUUAGAUUCUUUGGUUUUCCAAUGCCACAAUUGACAAUUGAUUUAUUUUAAGUUUAGAAUUGUUUGCCUCUUUUCUACCAAUUACUGUCAAAAUGACUGGUAAGCAAAUAAUAAUAAAUAAAAAAAACAAAGCUGGUGAUGGCCUGAAACUUUUGCAGAGUACUGUCAAUUUCAACAUUAGAGGGUGCUAUUCCAAGUUAAGUAUUUUGUGUUAUUUACAACUGUUCAUGCCCUACUAAUAAUGAUAGUUUCAUUGCACUUAUCUAUUGUAAUGUGUUUAUAUACAGUAUUACAUUUUGUCAUUGUGUCGUUAAUGUGCAAUAAGAAAAACUGUGUAAAGUUUUAACUAUUGAUCCAAAUAUAUUAUUACGAGUAAGGAGCCAUUCAGGAGCUGGGAAGUAAUCGUCUUAUUUCAGUAGAGUCUCUACAGUGUGUUACCAGACAUAUCUGUGCAUGCAAGAAUAAUAGCAUAACAAGCUACCAUCUUAGAGUGUGAUGAUAUAAAAUAAGUGGGUCAAUAUAGGAUGUAAGCAAUUUUUCGGUAUUUUGACCAUCCACUGUUUACAACCUUUUCAGUCCUUAUCCUAAACCUAAUUUAGUCAAACAAAAAUGCAAUGGGACUUACUUAGGUAGUCACUGCAAGGUUUAUCCAUGUUAUUGUAUGUUGCAGAUGAAGAACUAGCAGCAGCCUUUUAAUCAACCAAUCUAUUCUUCAAGUAUCCAUACUCUUUGCUAUUACAUGCAUACCCACUUUUCUACAUGUAUACUUUAGAAAUGAAAAUAGAUGGCUGAUAAGAUCAGGGAUAUUAAUCUUUAAAUGUAAAAAAAAUUAAAAUUGUGAGUAUUUUUCAUGAAUUCCUACGAUAUACAGUAUAUUGCAUUACGUGUAGUUUUCUGCCAUUUCUGUGACUACAGCCUGAAAAUCCACAUUCAACAAAUUAAAAUGCACUUUAACUCCAAAUUUGGCCUGGGUAUGAAUGAUUUGACUGUAGGUUCAUGUAGUGACACAUGUAAUGGUAUUACAUGAUUCAUGGAGGGCAUGUAUGAAAGAAGGUGCCACAAGUCUGCUGUCAACACUUGCUCAUGGGAACCACAGAAUAAAACAAAUUGCUCAUGUAUAUUUAAUUUGUUUAAAGACUUUAGAGUGGUGUAAGGGGCUAGGGCAGGUCGACUAUCUAUUUAUAGCGCGAAGGAGGAAGUGCUUCUUGAGAUGCUGAGGCCAUGCUUUGAAUGCCCAACUUGGUUUCUCUAAAUGAGUUGAUUGAACAAUAAUUUUGUAUGGAUUUGAAAACGUUCAGUGAUAAAAUACAUGUGGACAAGUAAGCAUGGUUAAGGGGGAAAAAAAAUGCAUUAUUAGCGCUAACAUGUGUAUAUAUAUUGUAUGCUAUGUGCAGCAGUAAUUGCUUGAUGAGGGCUAGCAUGGUUUCAUUAACUAUUAUGCACAAGGUUACACACUUCAGUUAUGAAGUAUAUGGUGUGUGCUUACUUGUGUUUGCUUAAAAUAAAAAAUAUCAAAUAUUUUCUCCAAAUAAAUGUCUGCACUCUUUACUGUGGAUAAUAACUCUCCUCUAAAAAUGAGUCAACACAACCUUUACUGUCUGGCUGAAUGGCUGGAAACAGAAAUAAGUACACCUCUCAGGGAAAAUGUCCAAAUUGUGUCCAAUGUGUCAAUAUUUUGUGUGAGCACUAGUGAUAUUUGGGACUGCCUUAACCCUCUUGGGCACAUGAUUCACCAGAUCUCCACAGGCUAUUACUGGAUUCUUCGUCCACUCCUCCAUGAUGACAUCACAGAAAUCUUGUGUUCUUCCACCUUCCAUGGAUUGAAAUGGGGUUCAGGUCUGGAGACUUAGGCCAUGUCCACACAAACACAGAUACUUAAUAAAGGCAUACCGUAUUUUUCGGAGCAUAAAUCGCUUCGGAGUAUAAGUCGCACCUGCCGAAAAUGCAUAAUAAAAAAGGGAAAAAACAUAUACAAGUCGCACUAGAGUAUAAGUCGCAUAUUGGGGGGAAAUUUAUUUGAUAAAAUCCAACACCAAGAAUGGACAUUUGAAAGGCAAUUUAAAAUAAAUAAAGAGUAGUGAACAACAGGCUUAAUAAAUGCACGUUAUAUGAUGCAUAAAUAACCAACAGAGAACGUGCCUGGUAUGUUAACGUAACAUAUUAUGGUAAGAGUCAUUCAAAUAACUAUAACAUAUAGAACAUGCUAUACGUUUACCAAACAAUCUGUCACUCCU